rnacentral:rRNA from 1 species
CUCCUACGGGAGGCAGCAGUCGAGAAUCAUUCACAAUGGGGGCAACCCUGAUGGUGCGACGCCGCGUGGGGGAAUGAAGGUCUUCGGAUUGUAAACCCCUGUCAUGUGGGAGCAAAUUAAAAAGAUAGUACCACAAGAGGAAGAGACGGCUAACUCUGUGCCAGCAGCCGCGGUAAUACAGAGGUCUCAAGCGUUGUUCGGAAUCACUGGGCGUAAAGCGUGCGUAGGCUGUUUCGUAAGUCGUGUGUGAAAGGCAGGGGCUCAACCCCUGGAUUGCACAUGAUACUGCGAGACUAGAGUAAUGGAGGGGGAACCGGAAUUCUCGGUGCAGCAGUGAAAUGCGUAGAUAUCGAGAGGAACACUCGUGGCGAAGGCGGGUUCCUGGACAUUAACUGACGCUGAGGCACGAAGGCCAGGGGAGCGAAAGGGAUUAGAUACCCCCGUAGUCCUGGCAGUAAACGGUGCACGC